CAGCAGCAACAUGGUGGAGAUCUGCAGCUUCAUGCUGGUCAACUGGAAGACAACUGAUUAAGAUUAAAAGAUUAAGAUUAAAAUCCAUUUAUUCAUCCCAAACACAUGCACAGACAUGCAAAGGCACACUCAUGCAGAUGAAGAACUGCAGCACCUGAUGUCCUCAGCAGCAACAUGGUGGAGAUCUGAUUUGAUACACUUUAGAUAAGAACCCAGUGUUUUAUAUUUCUGCUUUGCCAUAAGAGACAGAACAUGGUCAUCACAGCUGUGUCCUUCAGGCUCGUCUGUCCCUAAUAAAAUGAUAGGAAACAUGAAAGUGAUCGUCAUUAUUGUAGAGGAAGAGUUACAUAUGAACAAAGUGUGUAAUCUUAUUUUCUGUGGAUAUUCAACUGUGUAUUUGAAUAUGCUUUUGGAUUAAAACGUGCACUACCA